rnacentral:tRNA from 1 species
GAGAGAGGCUCGCAGCCACAAAGACUGCUAAUCUUUGUAACCUUGGUUGGACCCCAAGGCUCACUCG